rnacentral:miRNA from 1 species
UUGCUGAUUUAUUUCUUGCAAUGUUUUGGAGACUGAACGGCAAAAACUACAGGUAGCAGACAUAUUACUAGCUCCCUGAGUUCAUGCCGUUCAGUUUUUUGAAAGCAUUAGUUCGAAAGGUAAG